rnacentral:tRNA from 2 species
GUGUUAGUAGUUUAACUGGCAAAAUUGCAAGGUGACGUUCUUGAGAUUGGAGUUCGAAUCUCCACUAGCGCA